rnacentral:piRNA from 1 species
UGUUAUACUGUAUUUGAGUGAAUGGU